ACGGGAGGCAGCAGUGGGGAAUAUUGCACAAUGGGCGCAAGCCUGAUGCAGCCAUGCCGCGUGUAUGAAGAAGGCCUUCGGGUUGUAAAGUACUUUCAGCGGGGAGGAAGGUGUUGAGGUUAAUAACCUCAGCAAUUGACGUUACCCGCAGAAGAAGCACCGGCUAACUCCGUGCCAGCAGCCGCGGUAAUACGGAGGGUGCAAGCGUUAAUCGGAAUUACUGGGCGUAAAGCGCACGCAGGCGG
rnacentral:rRNA from 3 species